CUUGGUCAUUUAGAGGAAGUAAAAGUCGUAACAAGGUUUCCGUAGGUGAACCUGCGGAAGGAUCAUUAUCGAAAUUAUAGGUGAGGGUUGUAGCUGGCCUCUCGGGGCAUGUGCACGCCCGAGCCCUUAAUCCACACACACCUGUGAACCUAUUGUAAGGGCCCUUAAAAAAGGCCUUUACGUCUUAUCAUCAACCCAUCGUAUGUCUCAUAGAAUGUAAAUAUAUGUCCUCGCCUUAAAAAGCGUUGAUAAACUUAUACAACUUUCAACAACGGAUCUCUUGGCUCUCGCAUCGAUGAAGAACGCAGCGAAAUGCGAUAAGUAAUGUGAAUUGCAGAUUUUCAGUGAAUCAUCGAAUCUUUGAACGCACCCUGCGCUCCCUGGUAUUCCGAGGAGCAUGCCUGUUUGAGUGUCAUUAAAUUCUCAACUCCGAUCGAUUUGUUUCGACUUCGGAGCUUGGAUUUGGAGCGUGCUGGCGUCGGUCGGCUCCUCUUAAAUGCAUCAGCGGAAUCUAACGUUUCGGACGUCAGUGUGAUAAUCAUGUUGCGCUGUCUGUCUGAUCCGAAAGCCCGCUCACAAUGGUCUUCGGACAACUUCAUAUCAAAUUUGACCUCAAAUCAGGUAGGACUACCCGCUGAACUUAAGCAUAUCAAUAAGCGGAGGA
rnacentral:rRNA from 1 species